AUUGAACGCUGGCGGCAGGCUUAACACAUGCAAGUCGAGCGGAGCGAGGGUGCUUGCACCUUAGCUUAGCGGCGGACGGGUGAGUAAUGCUUAGGAAUCUGCCUAUUAGUGGGGGACAACAUUCCGAAAGGAAUGCUAAUACCGCAUACGCCCUACGGGGGAAAGCAGGGGAUCUUCGGACCUUGCGCUGAUAGAUGAGCCUAAGUCGGAUUAGCUAGUUGGUGGGGUAAAGGCCUACCAAGGCGACGAUCUGUAGCGGGUCUGAGAGGAUGAUCCGCCACACUGGGACUGGGACACGGCCCAGACUCCUACGGGAGGCAGCAGUGGGGAAUAUUGGACAAUGGGCGGAAGCCUGAUCCAGCCAUGCCGCGUGUGUGAAGAAGGCCUUUUGGUUGUAAAGCACUUUAAGCGAGGAGGAGGCUACUUAGAUUAAUACUCUGGGAUAGUGGACGUUACUCGCAGAAUAAGCACCGGCUAACUCUGUGCCAGCAGCCGCCGUAAAAC
rnacentral:rRNA from 1 species